CUUGCUUCUCUUGAGAGCGGCGGACGGGUGAGUAAUGCCUAGGAAUCUGCCUGGUAGUGGGGGAUAACGUCCGGAAACGGACGCUAAUACCGCAUACGUCCUACGGGAGAAAGCAGGGGACCUUCGGGCCUUGCGCUAUCAGAUGAGCCUAGGUCGGAUUAGCUAGUUGGUGGGGUAAUGGCUCACCAAGGCGACGAUCCGUAACUGGUCUGAGAGGAUGAUCAGUCACACUGGAACUGAGACACGGUCCAGACUCCUACGGGAGGCAGCAGUGGGGAAUAUUGGACAAUGGGCGAAAGCCUGAUCCAGCCAUGCCGCGUGUGUGAAGAAGGUCUUCGGAUUGUAAAGCACUUUAAGUUGGGAGGAAGGGCAGUAAAUUAAUACUUUGCUGUUUUGACGUUACCGACAGAAUAAGCACCGGCUAACUCUGUGCCAGCAGCCGCGGUAAUACAGAGGGUGCAAGCGUUAAUCGGAAUUACUGGGCGUAAAGCGCGCGUAGGUGGUUCGUUAAGUUGGAUGUGAAAUCCCCGGGCUCAACCUGGGAACUGCAUUCAAAACUGACGAGCUAGAGUAUGGUAGAGGGUGGUGGAAUUUCCUGUGUAGCGGUGAAAUGCGUAGAUAUAGGAAGGAACACCAGUGGCGAAGGCGACCACCUGGACUGAUACUGACACUGAGGUGCGA
rnacentral:rRNA from 1 species